GGGGAUGUAGCACAGAUGGUAAAACGCUUCCUUAGCAUGCGAGAAGUCUCGGGAUCGACCCCCUAUGUCUCCA